ACGUAGGAGGCGAGCGUUAUCCGGAUUUACUGGGUGUAAAGCGCGUGCAGGCGGCACGAUAAGUUGGAUGUGAAAGCUCCUGGCUCAACUGGGAGAGGUCGUUCAAGACUGUCGAGCUUGAGGAUGGUAGGGGAAGGUGGAAUUCCGGGUGUAGUGGUGAAAUGCGUAGAUAUCCGGAGGAACACCAGUGGCGAAGGCGGCCUUCUGGACCAUGACUGACGCUCAGACGCGAAAGCUAGGGUAGCAAACGGGAUUAGAGACCCCGGUAGUCCUAGCCGUAAACGAUGUGAACUUGGCGCCUGGAGGGUAAAACCGCUGGGUGCCGCAGCUAACGCGAUAAGUUCACCACCUGGGGACUACGGCCGCAAGGUUA
rnacentral:rRNA from 1 species